GAGCCCGUGGCUCAAUGCUUAGAGCAUUUGACUUCUGAUCCAAAAGUCGCGGGUUCA
rnacentral:tRNA from 1 species